ensembl:lincRNA Gm44447 predicted gene, 44447
AACUGUGCAUCUCGAACCUCUAUGGGCCAGACCUUGUUCAAAUUUCUUGCAAUGGGAAGACAUGUGUGUUGUAACUUCCCCCUUCCAGGGGGCUGCAGACUCUGGCCGAAGACCAUCAAAGUUGGCCUCUGCUCCUCUUGCUACUUUCUCAUUGCUCAGUUUUCCCACAGGGGUUUUGUACCUUGAAGGCUUUUUUUCCCCUUUCUUUUCUUUAAUUGUCAGGCUUUAUAGCACUACUGCACCUGGUCAGGAAACUCCCUGCAGCCUGCCUUCUGACUUAGAGAACCUCCAAUGUCACCAGUCACUCACACCUGCUCCCUUCCCCAACAAAAGGUUCUUCAGUGUGUCCAUUUCUCUCCGGGAUGAACUGGAUCAUGAAGGAAGGGACAACAGAUGGCAGUGUGACUUCUUCAAAGAUCAUCACCCCUUUGGAAAUGCAGUCUCCCCUUCCCCCAAUGUCACUGAAUCUCUUAGUGUUGUUGGCAUGAGAUCUAACUUAUGGGCCCCUCUCCACCAUGAUGGCAACCUUCCUCCAACAUGCCACACUGAACUGUGGGGUACUACAGUGCAUUGCUCGGACAGGAGAAAUGAGCAGAGGUUGCAUCGACCAUCUUUUUCCCCAGAUGUUGAGAGCUGCUGUUUUUUCUUCCUCUGAGGAAGUAUUCUCUAUUUUUAUUCUAGUCUUUGGGAAAAAAACGAAACAAGAGACAAGAGGGGAUGAGAACUUGUCAUCGCUGGGUGCAGGGGCCAUUGCAUACAAUUUUUUUUUUUUUUUGCUAUAAAUACAGAAUACGCUGGAUACCUGCACACAGCAAGUGGUACCCAUGUGUUUGCCAAAAUAAACACAAUUCUGCCCUGGGUUGUGUUUUUCAACACUGUGAAAAGGUGCCAAUUUUUAAAACUGAAUUUUAAACGUUAUAACCACACCCGAUGGUUUGUCCUUCCUGCUGCCUCAGCAGGGACCACUUUUUAAGCAGCCAUCCUUGAGUAGCGAGGCCUGGUGAGCAGGCACUCCCUUCACUUUGUUCUAAGGGAGAUCAGGGAAGGGGGUGGGGGAUUAUGGGAAGGGGCUGUGGAGCUCUGAAAGUGAGCCAGAACCCUUGCACCCGAGGGCAACUCACAGCAAUCAGAGCAGGAAUUUCUGUGGUGAUUUUGCACACACGACACUCAUGCCUAAUCCUUGGUGCUUCUGCACAUGUGUCCCAUAUGUUCAUCCUGAACUUAGCUUCCAGCUGGAACUCGCUCAGGAACGACCUGUGACAUUUUCACUUUCGCACAUGGAACAGGCCAGCGAGUCCUCGGAUGGCACGCCUUUGCUUCGCCACCACUUCAUGCCCUGUUGUCAUUUUACAGGGUAGGUAGAAAGGGGCCCCUGAGGUAAUCCCAGUGGGUCCCAGUGAGUGGAAAGAGCCAAUGUAAAGACAGAGGCCAAUUGUUGUAAAAGGUCAUAGCUGCUUUCACCAGUUGUAGUAGGACCGGUGGAAAGGUACCACAGCAAUGAAAAUGAAGUAUCUCACGAGGUGGGAACAGGCACCCUGCGUCCCAUAGCCUGUUCAGAUUUGCAACCAGUCUUAAUGCUGAAGGAGGUAGGACUGGGGGCUGGAGAGUGUGUUUGCUUUGGCUGAAGGAGACAUUUUAAAACCAGGCUAAAAAUAGGGAGAACAGGAAGGCACCCAUGCCUUUAUCAAAGGAAAGUAUGCCGGUUACUAAUAUUGAGUGCCGCAUUCUUCCAGACUAAUGGAAGUUAAUGGAAACAUUGCUCCUCCCGGCGUGGUGAGACCAGAGGCAGUGGCAGUGACUGGGUGCCUGGAGUGGGAACUGUCUGGAGUGGGAACUGUCUGGAGUGGGAACUGUCUGGAGUGGGAACUGUCUGGAGUGGGAACUGUCUGGAGUGGGAACUGUCUGGAGUGGGAACUGUCUUGAGAAGGAUAACUUAGGAGAUGGAUGAGCCUCGCUAAGGAUGUUCUGGACUCACACCGCGCUAGAUGGCUUGCUGUUCCAGAAGCUUCCUGCUUUAGAUGUAGACCUAGCCCAGCCCCGAGCAGCUGAGAAACAACUGAGAGGCCCCUCCUGUCACAAAGGUGUCCUCUGACCUUCCUGUGAGCAAGCAGACAGAGCCCACCAUUUUUGGAAGAACCGGCUGUGCAGGUCUCGCCUCUUCCGUUAGUGAAGUCAGGGAGAGACUUUGCACAAGCCAGUAUACCGGAGCCAAGUUACAGGCAUAAUUGAAAACAUUUGUAAAAUAAACAGACUCUCUCUACAUAUACAUAUAUUUAUAUAGACAGUUCUCUUGACAUUGAGCUUGAAACUGAAAUGUAUAUGAGGAUCAGGGAAAGAGAUCCUAUUUAGUUUUAAUUUGGGUGACUUGUAUUUUCCACCAAUAAAAGAAGACGUGUGUUUUUGUAGUUAAGGGCAUGCAAUCUUCACAGUAUUGGAACACUGCUUUUCAAGGGGAGAGCUUAUUAAUAACUAACAACAACAACAAUAAUAAUGUUGUUAUAUAACAAUAACAAUAACAGUCAGCUAGAUACCUUUGUUCUGUUCUGGCUCUGACACUAGGCAGUAGCUGUGUGUCCUUGGCCAGAUCACUUAACCUUUCUUAACUUCAAUUUCCUGCUCUGAAACCUAAGGCCAUUGGCAUGGGCCAGUGAGUCUCAAGCUGGCAUCCUCGACUCAUUAGAAAUCACAAAAGCAACUCAGUUGAAUUGAGAUCAACAUUCAAAAGAAGAAUAGAAUAAAAAGUGUUGCGAUGC